CAUGCUCCACCGCUUGUGCGGGUCCCCGUCAAUUCCUUUGAGUUUUAACCUUGCGGGGAGUACGGCCGCAAGGUUAAAACUCAAAGGAAUUGACGGGGACCCGCACAAGCGGUGGAGCAUGUGGUUUAAUUCGAUGCAACGCGAAGAACCUUACCUGGUCUUGACAUCCUGCGAACUUUCUAGAAAUAGAUUGGUGCCUUCGGGAACGCAGUGACAGGUGCUGCAUGGCUGUCGUCAGCUCGUGUCGUGAGAUGUUGGGUUAAGUCCCGUAACGAGCGCAACCCCUAUCCUUAUUUGCCAGCACAUCAUGGUGGGAACUAUAAGGAGACUGCCGGUGAUAAACCGGAGGAAGGCGGGGACGACGUCAAGUCAUCAUGGCCCUUACGACCAGGGCUACACACGUGCUACAAUGGGAAGGACAAAGAGCCGCGAAGCCGCGAGGUGUAGCUAAUCUCAGAAACCUUUUCGUAGUCCGGAUUGGAGUCUGCAACUCGACUCCAUGAAGUCGGAAUCGCUAGUAAUCGUAGAUCAGAAUGCUACGGUGAAUACGUUCCCGGGUCUUGUACACACCGCCCGUCAUACCAUGGGAGUGGGUUGCACCAGAAGUGGCUAGUCUAACUUUAUUGAGGACGGUCACCACGGUGUGAUUCAUGACUGGGAUGAAGUCGUAACAAGGUAGCCCUACCGGAAGGUGG
rnacentral:rRNA from 1 species